UGGCUCAGUUGGUUGAGCGUCUGACUUCAGCUCAGGUCAUGAUAUCACGGUUUGUGGGUUCGAGCCCCGC
rnacentral:tRNA from 1 species